rnacentral:rRNA from 1 species
AACGAACGCUGGCGGCAUGCCUAACACAUGCAAGUCGAACGAGACCUUCGGGUCUAGUGGCGCAAGGGUGCGUAACGCGUGGGAACCUGCCCUUAGGUUCGGAAUAACUCCCCGAAAGGGGUGCUAAUACCGGAUAAUGUCUUCGGACCAAAGAUUUAUCGCCUUUGGAUGGGCCCGCGUUGGAUUAGCUAGUUGGUAGGGUAAAAGCCUACCAAGGCGACGAUCCAUAGCUGGUCUGAGAGGAUGAUCAGCCACACUGGGACUGAGACACGGCCCAGACUCCUACGGGAGGCAGCAGUGGGGAAUAUUGGACAAUGGGCGAAAGCCUGAUCCAGCAAUGCCGCGUGAGUGAUGAAGGCCCUAGGGUUGUAAAGCUCUUUUACCCGGGAUGAUAAUGACAGUACCGGGAGAAUAAGCUCCGGCUAACUCCGUG